CAAUAACAGUGUCCUCCCCAUGAUGUGAGGCUGGAGUAAAUGUAAUCACUAUCAAAUUCAUAGGCAUAGCGGGUAUUAAUAUUGUCUUGUGUAUUUCACCUAAAUCCUUUCAUUAGUUGUAGUUAUUUUUUUCCAUAUCCAUAGUGUGAGUAUCGACUGCUCUGUCAUCUAUUGCUCUAGCCUGGCUGCAGUACAUUCAAGUCAGCAGCGGGAGUUUCCAGUACAGAUCAGAGAUGCCGUCUAACGUGGAGAUCAAGGCGAGGGUGAGCAAUGCGACACGAUUGGCGGAGAGAGCCAGCCAGCUAAGCCAAUCAGAGGGAACAGUAAUCCGCCAGCAGGACACGUUCUUCAACUGCAGCACCGGACGGCUUAAACUACGUAACCUGAUGGAUGGGAGUGGUCAGUUAAUCUUCUAUGAGAGACCAGAUUGUGACGGGCCCAAGGUGUCCAACUACUCUCUCUCUACUACACAGGACCCAGAGGGGCUCAGAGUGAGUAGCUACUACACCACUACUCUCUCUACUACACAGGACCCAGAGGGGCUCAGAGUGAGUAGCUACUCCACCACUACUCUCUCUACUACACAGGACCCAGAG